CAGUAGCCGCGGGAAAACGAAGGGGGCUAGCGUUGUUCGGAUUUACUGGGCGUAAAGCGCACGUAGGCGGAUUCUUAAGUCAGAGGUGAAAUCCCAAGGCUCAACCUUGGAACUGCCUUUGAUACUGGGGAUCUCGAGUCCGGGAGAGGUGAGUGGAACUGCGAGUGUAGAGGUGAAAUUCGUAGAUAUUCGCAAGAACACCAGUGGCGAAGGCGGCUCACUGGACAAUAACUGACGCUGAUGCACGAAAGCUAGGGGAGCAAACAGGAUUAGAUACCCCAGUAGUCCCUGUCUCUUAUAC
rnacentral:rRNA from 1 species